CCUGGCUUGCAGCAGACCGGCCGCAGCUGGCUGAUUGAAAGGAAGCAGGGACUCCGCUGAUGGCUCGGGACAGAGAAGGCAGCUGCAACAGCAAAACCCUGCAGGCCAGCCCCACGGCUGAAGAACCUGAGGCACAGAUGGGCAGCUAGGGAGAGGCAGGAGGUCUGGACAAUCAUCUGCCCCCUUUAGGGCGUCCGGGGAGGCCAGCGUGGUGUUUCAGACGUGGGGAAGGAAGCCUCGGGGGCCGUGAUCUCUCUAAUGGAGAAUUCGCCCAGUCAGAGGCUGUUUGCCUGUUAAUACCACAAUAGCAGAAUGGUCAUUUGUUGAAGGCCUGUGUGACUUCUAACCUCACAUUAACCUUGAUGGGCGGGGGAGAUGGCUAAACCCUGUGUUACACGUGGGGAAAUUGAAAAUUAGAGACGGUGAGUAACUCCUGAGAGCUUACCAGCAAGCAAGGCUCACAGAGGACUGGAAAGCAGACUGCCUGGGCCGCAGAGCCUGGGCGGUUCCUGUUCUAGUACCCGGGGCUGGGAGUGAGGGCAGCCUCUUGGGAACUUGUGAACUUGUGAACCUGUGUAUGCUUUCCAUUUGUCCUUUCGUUUAAUUAAUUAAUUAAUUAAUUUUAAAAGUGCCUAACUUAUUGCCAAGAGUGAAAGUGUGUAAGGACCUUAGAGCUGGGCCUGACCUGCCUCAAACUUCAGUGGCUCUGAGUUUCAGUUACUCUAUGCCGCCUUGGGGGACCAGGGCAGGAAGCCAGUGGGAAGUCUCUGGGACCCAGCGGCCUUACCUAGUGAGGAUCCAGAGCCGGAAGACACCUGUGUCUGGUUCACAGCUGGGACUUAACUGCUGUGAUUGGCCCUGGAGACGGCUCAGACAAUAGCUUCCAUGAGAUUGGAGACCCUUCCCCCCCCCCCGCCCGCCCCUUUUCCUCUCUCCGUGUCCCCAGGCCAGUCCCCAACCCUUGAUUCCAACAGUAGACCUGCAGCUGCCGAGAUAUG